rnacentral:lncRNA from 1 species
UUAUUUCAGGGGUCAUGACUACAUGUAUUUGGUGAGAAUAAUGAAUAUGAAACGAUGACAUGUAUGAUGGCGAGUACUUUGUAGACAAAAUGCAUUGGGUGAAACUGAAACGGGUCAAACUGGUUGAAGGUUGUCAGUCCAACAUUUUAAAACUAAAGGUGGCAUUGCAUUGAACAACAACUUUGAGAGAAUGAGGUUACAUGUAUGCUUUCUAACUAUCCAUCCAUCAUCAGACCUUCAAAUCGCUCCACCGAUCUUUGUUUUAGUCUGACAUGAUGGUUUUUGUUGCUGUAUUUGAAUUAACCAUGUGGUCGACUUGAUUCGCCACAUGGUAAAGUUUUGAAGCUGUUAUAGCACGAGUUAGCAGGCUUGUCACGAGCACAGUUUUGCCUACCACGUUGUGAUUAUUUACAUGUAAAUGUUGGUUAUGAGAAGGUGCUGAAACGAAGGAGCCAACAACUAUGGAAGAGAAGCAACAUAAACAGCCUAUGGUCAAUAUACAAAGACGUCAAACUAAUGACAGCAGCGGAAAGAUUAUCAUUUUUAACAUACAUGUGUGAAUUUAUUCACGAAUAAUCCAAGAUAC